rnacentral:tRNA from 1 species
GCCUGGGUGGCUCAGUUGGUUGGGCGUCUGACUUCGGCUCAGGUCAUGAUCUCACAGCUCGUGAGUUCGAGCCCCACAUCGGGCU